rnacentral:rRNA from 1 species
CAGCAGCCGCGGGAAUACGUAGGUGGCAAGCGUUGUCCGGAAUUAUUGGGCGUAAAGGGCUCGCAGGCGGUUUCUUAAGUCUGAUGUGAAAGCCCCCGGCUCAACCGGGGAGGGUCGUUGGAAACUGGGAAACUUGAGUGCAGAAGAGGAGAGUGGAAUUCCACGUGUAGCGGUGAAAUGCGUAGAGAUGUGGAGGAACACCAGUGGCGGAGGCGACUCUCUGGUCUGUAACUGACGCUGAGGAGCGAAAGCGUGGGGAGCGAACAGGAUUAGAUACCCCCGUAGUCCCUGUCUCUUAUAC